UGAGUAACGCGUAUGCAACCUACCUACUACUUUGGGAUAGCUCGUUGAAAGACGAAUUAAUACCUUAUAAAACAGGGGCUCCGCAUGGAGAUAUUUGUUAAAGAUUUAUUGGUAGUAGAUGGGCAUGCGUUCCAUUAGUUAGUUGGUGAGGUAACGGCUCACCAAGACAACGAUGGAUAGGGGAACUGAGAGGUUUAUCCCCCACACUGGAACUGAGACACGGUCCGGACUCCUACGGGAGGCAGCAGUGAGGAAUAUUGGUCAAUGGAGGCAACUCUGAACCAGCCAAGUCGCGUGAAGGAUGACUGCCCUACGGGUUGUAAACUUCUUUUUUAAGGGAAUAAAGUGAGCCACGUGUGGCUUUUUGCAUGUACCUUACGAAUAAGGAUCGGCUAACUCCGUGCCAGCAGCCGCGGUAAUACGGAGGAUCCGAGCGUUAUCCGGAUUUAUUGGGUUUAAAGGGUGCGCAGGCGGAAUAUUAAGUCGGCGGUGAA
rnacentral:rRNA from 1 species